UACGGAGGGGGCAAGCGUUGUUCGGAAUUACUGGGCGUAAAGGGCGCGCAGGCGGCUGCUCAAGUCAGGCGUGAAAGGCCUGGGCUCAACCCGGGAAUUGCGCUUGAGACUGGGCUGGCUUGAGUGCGGGAGAGGAUGGUGGAAUUCCCAGUGUAGAGGUGAAAUGCGUAGAUAUUGGGAGGAACACCAGUGGCGAAGGCGGCUCACUGGACCGGAACUGACGCUGAUGCGCGAAAGCGUGGGGAGCAAACGGG
rnacentral:rRNA from 1 species